GUGAGGAAUAUUGGUCAAUGGGCGAGAGCCUGAACCAGCCAAGUCGCGUGAAGGAAGAAGGAUCUAUGGUUCGUAAACUUCUUUUGCAGGGGAAUAAAGUGCAGGACGUGUCCUGUUUUGUAUGUACCCUGAGAAUAAGGAUCGGCUAACUCCGUGCCAGCAGCCGCGGUAAUACGGAGGAUCCGAGCGUUAUCCGGAUUUAUUGGGCUUAAAGGGUGCGUAGGUGGUUUGAUAAGUCAGCGGUGAAAGUUUGCAGCUUAACUGUAAAAAUGCCGUUGAAACUGUCGGACUUGAGUGUAAAUGAGGUAGGCGGAAUGCGUGGUGUAGCGGUGAAAUGCAUAGAUAUCACGCAGAACUCCGAUUGCGAAGGCAGCUUACUAAGCUACAACUGACACUGAAGCACGAAAGCGUGGGGAUCAAACAGGAUUAGAAACCCCAGUAGUCC
rnacentral:rRNA from 1 species